GACGAACGCUGGCGGCGUGCUUAACACAUGCAAGUCGAACGGAAAGGCCCUGCUUUUGUGGGGUGCUCGAGUGGCGCACGGGUGAGUAACACGCGAGUAACCUGUCCUUGACUUUGGGAUAACUUUAGGAAAAUGGGGCUAAUACCGGAUAGGAGCUCCUGCUGCAUGGUGGGGGUUGGAAAGUUUCGGCGGUUGGGGAUGGACUCGCGGCUUAUCCGCUUGUUGGUGGGGUAGUGGCUUACCAAGGCUUUGACGGGUAGCCGGCCUGAGAGGGUGACCAGCCACAUUGGGACUAAGAUACGGCCCAGACGCCUACGGGAGGCAGCAGUGGGGAAUAUUGCACAAUGGGCGGAAGCCUGAUGCAGCAACGCCGCGUGCGGGAUGACGGCCUUCGGGUUGUAAACCGCUUUCGCCUGUGACGAAGCGUGAGUGACGGUAAUGGGUAAAGAAGCACCGGCUAACUACGUG
rnacentral:rRNA from 1 species